rnacentral:rRNA from 1 species
CAAAAAUCCGCCAGAUCGUCUGCCAGGAAAAUCCUCUAAGGAGAGUUAGGUAACCGUACCACAAACGGACACACGUGGACGAGAUGAGUAUUCUCAGGCGCUCGGGUGAUGAGUUGUUCAGGAACUAGGCAAAUUAACCCCGUAACUUCGGGAGAAGGGGUGCCCACGCAAGUGGGCCGCAGUGAAUAGCGUCAGGCGACUGUUUAAUAAAAACACAGGUCUCUGUUAAGUCGAAAAUGACGUAUAGGGGCUGACGCCUGCCCGGUGCCGGAAGGUUAAAGGGAGCGGUUAGCGCAAGCGAAGCUGUAAACUGAAGCCCCGGUGAAUGGCGGCUGUAAUGAUAACGGUCCUAAGGUAGUGAAAUUCUUUGUCGGGUAAGUUCCGACCUGCACGAAUGGCGUAACGAUCUGACGACUGUCUUAACAACUCGCCCGGCAAAUUUGUGGUUCCGGUGAAGACGCCGGAUGCCCGCCACAAGACGGAAAGACCCCGUGCACCUUUACUAUACCCUAUCAGUGAAUUAUGGGUUGAACUGCGCAGGAUAGGUGGGAGGCUUUGAGAUCGGUUUUUUGGAAUCGAUGGAGCCAAUGGUGAGAUACCACCCUGUUCAAUCUGUGAUUCUAACCUACUUCCAUGAUUUGGAAGAGGGACACUGGUAGGCGGGUAGUUUGACUGGGGCGGUCGCCUCCUAAAUUGUAAUGGAGGCGCUCGAAGCUGCGUUUAGGUGGUUUGGAAAUCCACCGUUGAGUGCAAAGGCAUAAACGCGGUUAACUGCGAGACCUACAAGUCAAGCAGGUGGGAAACCAGGACUUAGUGAUCCGGUGAUUCUGUAUGGAAGGGUCAUCGCUCAACGGAUAAAAGGUACGCCGGGGAUAAUAGGCUGAUCGGAGUCAAGAGUUUAUAUUGAUGCUCCGGUUUGGCACCUCGAUGUCGGUUCAUCGCAUCCCGGGGGUGUAGAAGCUCCCAAGGGUUAGGCUGUUCGCCUAUUAAAGCGGUACGUGAACUGGGUUCAGAACGUCGCGAGACAGUUCGGUCCCUAUCUGUGGUGGGCGCAGGAAAAUUGAGGGGGCUUGGCCUUAGUAUGAGAGGACCGGGCUGAACGAACCUCUUGUGAUACAGUUGUCACUCCAGUGGUACAGCUGUGUAGCGAAGUUCGGUUAGGAUAAGCGCUGAAUGUAUAUAAGUGCGAAACCUUCCCCAAGAUGAGUUUUCCCAACCGUAAGGUAAUAAGGGCCGUGGAAGACUACCACGUUGAUAGGACGGGUGUGUAAGAGUAGUAAUACUUUGAGCUAACCGUUACUAAUAGCCCGUUCGGCUUGACCUA